AAAGGAAGAAGAUCUAAGAAUGCUUCUUUAAGAAGCUUUCUUGAUGGAGGGGAGUGGCAGACGGGUGAGUAACGCGUGGGAACAUACCCUUUUCUACGGAAUAGCUCUGGGAAACUGGAAUUAAUACCGUAUACGCCCUACGGGGGAAAGAUUUAUCGGGGAAGGAUUGGCCCGCGUUGGAUUAGCUAGUUGGUGGGUAAAGGCCUACCAAGGCGACGAUCCAUGGCUGGUCUGAGAGGAUGAUCAGCCACAUUGGGACUGGGACACGGCCCAAACUCCUACGGGAGGCAGCAGUGGGGAAUAUUGGACAAUGGGCGCAAGCCUGAUCCAGCCAUGCCGCGUGAGUGAUGAUGGCCUUGGGGUUGUAAAGCUCUUUCACCGAUGAAGAUAAUGACGGUAGUCGGAGAAGAAGCCCCGGCUAACUUCGUGCCAGCAGCCGCCGUAA
rnacentral:rRNA from 1 species